rnacentral:rRNA from 1 species
CAGCCGCCGCGGUAAUACAGAGGGUGCGAGCGUUAAUCGGAUUUACUGGGCGUAAAGCGUGCGUAGGCGGCUUUUUAAGUCGGAUGUGAAAUCCCUGAGCUUAACUUAGGAAUUGCAUUCGAUACUGGUUAGCUAGAGUGUGGGAGAGGAUGGUAGAAUUCCAGGUGUAGCGGUGAAAUGCGUAGAGAUCUGGAGGAAUACCGAUGGCGAAGGCAGCCAUCUGGCCUAACACUGACGCUGAGGUACGAAAGCAUGGGGAGCAAACAGGAUUAGAUACCCCGGUAGUCCCUGUCUCUUAUAA